AUACGGAUCAACUCAAGUGUGAAGCCCCUGUGCCUAGUGGAUAAAGGCUAAUAAAUCUCGCCUCCCAAUAGGCAUUUGUCUUUUGAAAAGUUGGUUAGGGGCUAUGGUCUUAACACUUCAACUGCUCCAUUGUUAAGGUGUGAGAUGCUUUCGGCUUCAAAAAUUUCUCUGGAGACACCUCAACUAGCUAUAAUAGAGGAUGCUCGCAUA
rnacentral:lncRNA from 1 species